UGAGUCCUGUGCCCUGCCCUCCCUGCAGGAGAGUAUAUUGCCCUCUACCAAAAUCAGAGGGCAGUGCUGAAGGAGCGCCACCGAGAGAAGGAGGAGUACAUCAGCCGACUGGCGCAGGACAAGGAGGAGAUGAAGGUAGGAGCCCCUGAACAUCUCUUCUCUGCGGGCCUGCAGGCUGGGCGGGGGCCGGGAUACUGAGCAUCUCUCCCUUCAGGUCAAGUUGCUGGAGCUGCAGGAGCUGGUGCUGCGGCUUGUGGGGGAGCGUAACGAGUGGCAGGGCAAGUUUCUGGCAGCGGCCCAGAGUCCUGCUGAAACCACCACUCCAGAGCCAGCAAGCCCCCAGGAAUUUGGAGCAACUGACAAGCAGGGUGGUGAGUAGAGACCUCAGGACGGGCUGACAGGAGGAGCAGCAGAGGGCUGCUCCGUGCUCAGAGGCCUUUCCUCUCUCCAAAGACCUUCAAGAGGUGAGCCUUGCUGACAGCGUGGAGCCGGCACAAGGAGAGGCUGGGGCGGCUUCUCCCCCUGAGAACCACACUGCGCAGCAGAUCAUACAGCUGCUGCGCAAGAUCCAGAACCCCCAGGAACGCCUCGGCCUGGGCACCAACCCCUGCGUCCCCUUCUUCUACCGUGCCGACGACAAUGAUGAGGUUAAGAUCAUGGUCAUCUAAGUCGGAGGCCGGGGAGGAGGGGCCAGGGACUUUUCCCCCAUCUGUCCCUUACCCCCCUGUCCCUGCCAUUCCUUCCCAGUUACCCUUUUACCCUUAGGACUAGCAAGUUAAGACCCCUAACAGGGGACAAACAGGUGCAGACCCUUUGCCACCUUGGCUAGGGCUGAGUCUUGAUUUCUGGACUCUUGCUCCAGAAAGAGAGCCAGAGGCUCAUAAUUUUCUAGAGGGGCAGGGCUCUCUAGUGGUCCCCUUGCCCUCACCAAGCAGACCUUCAUUUAGGGGGCUCUCUCCUCUUACAAGAGGCACUUUGGGGCAGGCAAGUUGGGCAGCAUUUUCACAGCCCUUAAGAUGGGGCUCGGGCUGGGGAUGUGGCUCAAGCGGUAGCGCGCUCGCCUGGCAUGCGUGCGGCCCGGGUUCGAUCCUCAGCACCACAUACAAAACAGAGAUGUUGUGUCCGCUGAUAACUAAAAAAUAUUAAAAAAAAAAAAAAAAAAGAUGGGGCUCACUGUAGGCGGGGCUGGGGCAGAGUCUGGCGGGGGCAGUCCUCCAUUCAGCAGGGCUCCCGUCUUAGAGGCACUUUGGCAGGUCAGCUGGGCAGCAUUCUCAUGGGUCUUCAAACAUUUAGGGUCACUGAAGGCUAGGCGAGGGCAGCGUGGGCGCAGGCAGUCCUGAGGGCUCCCAUCCUCAGAAGUAUCUUGGGCAGGGCUACUGGGCAGAAUUCUCAGGCCUUAUGACAGUUGAGGCUAACUGUAGGCCAGGCAGGGCAGAGGCUGCUGGGGGGGGUGGGCCUCCCCUCGCCCAGUGUACAUAUUGUACCUGUGUAUCAUUUUGUAAAUUCUGGGGUAGGACUGCCCCCUGUAUCAUAGUUGGAGCUGGCAAAUGGAGAGAAGGGUCUAAUAAUUAUUUGGGAUUGGAAAACUUAUUUAUUGAUAGCAUAGGACAAAGGAAGGAGGCAGGGAU
rnacentral:lncRNA from 1 species